CACACUUGCUGUGUGCCUUUUGUAAGCGACUUGCCCGUCCACUAAAAUGAGGGUGAGAAUGCCCACUUUGCUGGGCUUGCCCUGAGGAACGAUGGCUGGCAUGGCUGCAUGUAAGGUGCUCAACCUGGUGCCCAGCUCACCCUCGCCUCUCCAGAUGGGGUGCUUAUGCUUUUUACUUUCUCGCCCCAGUUAUGGACAGCACUCCUAGGGAGCUGUGGAAAAGAAGUUUCUGCUUUAGCAGGAAUUCAGCUAUUAUCUUCUCUCUGGAGAAAGCCGUCUGCUUUUGAUCUGAGAUGGACAAACGAGGCUAUUCUGAGAAGGACUAAUUACAGUACACAUCCGGGAUUCUUUUCCCUGCUGCAUCUGCCUGCUUAUCAGAGGCUCCUGGGAUUCUGAGAGUGAUCUUCUACAGGAAGCCGUUGAGAAGGGCAUUGGGUCUUUUGUUACCAGGCACAAUGAAGGAAUGGAAACUAGGGCUCAGAGGUUUCACUUGCCAGAAGUCACUCGGUCCCUGGGAAGGAUGCAAACCAGCUCACCUGGCUCUCCAGCACAUGCACCCCAGACCACCCCCAAGGAUGUGACCCAUUCCUUCUGUGGAGUCUGAUCUUCCAAACUUUAGACAACAGCUCCUUCUGCAAGCUUUCGAGCCUGCAAGCUAAGGACAUGAAUGAACUGAGUCAUCCCCACAGAGCUUCAUUAAUUUUAAGGCAAUUUAAGAUUUCUGAGUCAUAGGUUUCAGUCAUUUAGAUUUUCCCAGCUGGUACUGUACUUGCCCACACACACUUUUCUUUAAAGAUUGCAUCUGUCUAGAUGUGUGGUUCUGCCCACCCUUCCUCAGUUUCUGAGAAGAAACUCGCCCUCGUGGAGUGCUACAUGCAGGGCUAAGCCAUUUCCAUUUGCCACGUGCAUUAGAGUCUUUGCCUGAGGGAUUAAUGGGAUUAGCAGUCUGCAGCUUGAUCUAGACUCUAUCCACCAGAGACAUGCACAAUUCCAAAUUCUAUAUCCAACACAAUAUUUUACCCAGUCUCCCAAGAAAAUUCAGUUAUGCCAUAUGGUGACUCCACUCACUGAAUAAUAUUUAGCAACUUGAUGAACAAGGACUGAAUCAUAUCUUAACCAUCUUGGCCAAAUAUUGUUUUAUAUAGCAACAGUAUUAGUAAUAUAUAUGUUUUAUUUUUUACACUAGUACUUCCUGCUACGCCCACUGAAAAUUAAGAGCUAGACCUCACUGGAAGUAGACUACACAAUAAAAGAGUUCUCGCUCAUUAGCAACCUCCAAUUCAAUAUUGCAUUGUAUGUAUGAUACAUUCAGAAUGUCUGCUUUUUCCUUCCUCCAGAGCAGCUGCUGGGAUUGAGCAAUAGUCUCCCAGGGUAACGCAGCAGGGAAUCCUGGGGCAUUUCCCAGACACUGAAAACAAAGGAUAUGUAUCCAUGGGGAGGAUAGGGCUUCAGCUCUCUCCCUCCCACUAAGAAGUUCUCCAUAUCCUCAGUAUGUGGGGGAGAAAAUUAGCAAGCCUCUGAGUGAGGAGCCCCUGUGACCCAGGGAUUUUAAGAAAGUCGUUUUCCUCCCUGAGCCUCAAUUCAACUGUUCAAGAGGGAUAAUCAUGAAAACCCUUUAUAAACUGUAAUACAAUAUGCAAAUGCUAGGUUGGUCAUUUACAAUGUGCAGAUUCUGUUAAAAUUGUACAUACAUGCAACCAUGAGGAAGAUGCAAUCUGUAUCUUCAACCAUCUUACCAGUGGAAAAUAGAAACUUGUGGAGAUAACAGAGAUAAUUUCAACAAAAUACAACUUGGCUAAGAUAGAGUUAUGAAAAGUAGAGAGACUCUUAGGUCAACAUGAAAGUUCCUGAAGUUGCCAGUACCCAAGAGGAAUCUUGAAUGAUCAGCAAGAUUUAUAGCGGCUAUAAGAAUAUUUAUUCCCAGCAGCCAGGGGCAUAAGCAUCAGUUACUAGUGAGUAUAAUGCAUGUCCCAAAGUGGCAGGAAAUAAGGCCAUAUUUAUAGCAAUUAAGAAAUAUUAGCUAUUAUUACUGUAGCAUCAGGGCUUUCUGAAAAUCAAAAAAAAGGGAUUUCUGGGAGAGUCUCAUGCUAAGGCUUCAGCAACUCUUCUCACCCCACCCUGUGGGGCCACUAUUGUGCCCAUCUUCUGGGAAACUGUUGUAAAAUGCUCCCUUGAUUUAUUACUGAGUAUAAAACUAACCCAAUACUUACUGAUGUAAAAUAACCCACUUCUUUAUAUCAUGGUUUUGUGCAGCAGGAACUGGGGCAGAUGGCACAACUGGGGUCACUUAGUGAUGUUCUGUUGGUUGCUGCUGCUGCUGCUGCUAGAAGUAUCGAGAUGGUUUUAUUACCAUGCCUGGAGUCUUGUCAGUUGGUUGGAAGCCUGGGCUCUACCAGGCCCAUCUCCUUCUUCACAUAUUCUUGGGGCCUUUCCUGCUGAUUUCUCCGGCCAGGUAGCUGGUUGGAUUUAUUUCCUGCCACCUCGAAGCUUCAAGAGACUAUGGUAGAAGUUUCUAGGUCUCUCCAAGGCAAAGCCUGGGACUGGCCAUAUGUCAUAUCUGCCAUUUCCUAUGGGUCCAAGCAGUCUCAGGUCAGUGCAGAUUCAAGUGGAAGGAAAUAGACUCCACUUUUUAAUGGGAGAAGUGUCAAGUAUGUAUGGCUGUCUUUACUCUGGCACAUUUCUCUCUCCACUUAUGGUCACGCUGUGUGUGUAAGAAAGUCUUGUUGAUUCCUGUGAUAGGAAACAAAAGAAAAAAUCUCCAGUAAAAAAAAAUAGUGCAGCAUAAAAGAGGCUUCUGUCCUUCUUCUGUGAGUUCCUAUAUGACCCACUGUCCUGUGUCCAGCACCUAGCACAGUGCUUGGCAUACAGAAGGUGAUCAAUCCACAGAACUUAGCUGACAGGAUUUUGCUACUAUAUUGUUAUGUGAGUGAAUUUCUCACAGUGAACCUUCCAGGAAAGGUGCCAGGGGAAUCUUAUUGCAAAACUAGCAGUUUAUUGGGUUGACAAAG
rnacentral:lncRNA from 1 species